UACAGAGGGUGCGAGCGUUGUCCGGAAUCAUUGGGCGUAAAGGGUGCGUAGGCGGCGCGGUAAGUCGGGUGUGAAAUCUCGGAGCUUAACUCCGAAACUGCAUUCGAUACUGCCGUGCUUGAGGACUGGAGAGGAGACUGGAAUUUACGGUGUAGCGGUGAAAUGCGUAGAUAUCGUAAGGAAGACCAGUGGCGAAGGCGGGUCUCUGGACAGUUCCUGACGCUGAGGCACGAAGGUCAGGGGAGCAAAACGGG
rnacentral:rRNA from 1 species